UACAGAGGUCUCAAGCGUUGUUCGGAUUCAUUGGGCGUAAAGGGUGCGUAGGUGGCGCCGUAAGUCGGGUGUGAAAUUUCGGAGCUUAACUCCGAGACUGCAUUCGAUACUGCGGUGCUUGAGGACUGGAGAGGAGACUGGAAUUCAUGGUGUAGCAGUGAAAUGCGUAGAGAUCAUGAGGAAGACCAGUGGCGAAGGCGGGUCUCUGGACAGUUCCUGACACUGAGGCACGAAGGCCAGGGGAGCAAACGGG
rnacentral:rRNA from 1 species